rnacentral:rRNA from 1 species
CUGUAGACUACGAGUUGAUCAUGGCUACAGGACGAACGCUGGCGGCGUGCUUCAUACAUGCAAGUCGAACGAGAAGUCACCUUCGGGUGAUGGAAAGUGGCGGACGGGUGAGUAAUGUGUAGAGAAUCUGCCCUUGAGUGGGGGACAACAGUUGGAAACGACUGCUAAUACCGCAUAAGCGCACGGUAUCGCAUGAUACAGUGUGAAAAACUCCGGUGGUAUAAGAUGGACCCGCGUCUGAUUAGCUUGUUGGUGAGGUAACGGCCCACCAAGGCGACGAUCAGUAGCCGGCCUGAGAGGGUGAACGGCCACAUUGGGACUGAGACACGGCCCAAACUCCUACGGGAGGCAGCAGUGGGGAAUAUUGCACAAUGGGGGAAACCCUGAUGCAGCGACGCCGCGUGAGUGAAGAAGUAUUUCGGUAUGUAAAGCUCUAUCAGCAGGGAAGAAGAAAUGACGGUACCUGACUAAGAAGCCCCGGCUAACUACGUG